rnacentral:rRNA from 1 species
CCUACGGGAGGCAGCAGUGAGGAAUAUUGGUCAAUGGACGGAAGUCUGAACCAGCCAUGCCGCGUGCAGGAAGACGGCUCUAUGAGUUGUAAACUGCUUUUGUACAAGGGUAAACCUGAAUACGUGUAUUCAGCUGAAAGUACUGUACGAAUAAGGAUCGGCUAACUCCGUGCCAGCAGCCGCGGUAAUACGGAGGAUCCAAGCGUUAUCCGGAUUUAUUGGGUUUAAAGGGUGCGUAGGCGGAUUGAUAAGUUAGAGGUGAAAUGUCCGAGCUCAACUCGGGAACUGCCUCUAAUACUGUUGAUCUAGAGAGUAGAUGCGGUAGGCGGAAUGUAUGGUGUAGCGGUGAAAUGCUUAGAGAUCAUACAGAACACCGAUUGCGAAGGCAGCUUACCAAUCUAUAUCUGACGUUGAGGCACGAAAGCGUGGGGA